GUUGAACGCUGGCGGCAGGCCUAACACAUGCAAGUAGAGCGGAGCGGCGGACGGGUGAGUAAUGCCUAGGAAUCUGCCUGGUAGUGGGGGAUAACGUCAGGAAACGGGCGCUAAUACCGCAUACUAUCAGAUGAGCCGAGGUCGGAUUAGCUAGAUGGUGGGGGAAAGGCCUACCAAGGCGACGAUCCGUAACUGGUCUGAGAGUAUGAUCAGUAAACCUGGAACUGAUACACGGUCCAGACUCCUACGGGAGGCAGCAGUGGGGAAUUGUGGACACUGGGCGAAAGCCUGAUCCAGCCAUGCCGCGUGUGUGAAGAAGGUCUUCGUAUUGUAAAGCACUUUAAGUUGGGAGGCGUUACCAACAGAAUAAGCACCGGCUAACUUCGUGCCAGCAGCCGCGGUAAUAC
rnacentral:rRNA from 1 species